rnacentral:rRNA from 1 species
UGUUGAAGACUCGUUCCAUGCAGUCGAACGGAAGGCCCAGCUUGCUGGGUACUCGAGUGGCGAACGGGUGAGUAACACGUGGGUGAUCUGCCCUGCACUCUGGGAUAAGCCUGGGAAACUGGGUCUAAUACCGGAUAUGACCAACUGUCGCAUGGUGGUUGGUGGAAAGCUUUUGCGGUGUGGGAUGGGCCCGCGGCCUAUCAGCUUGUUGGUGGGGUAAUGGCCUACCAAGGCGACGACGGGUAGCCGACCUGAGAGGGUGAUCGGCCACACUGGGACUGAAACACGGCCCAGACUCCUACGGGAGGCAGCAGUGGGGAAUAUUGCACAAUGGGCGCAAGCCUGAUGCAGCGACGCCGCGUGAGGGAUGACGGCCUUCGGGUUGUAAACCUCUUUCACCAGGGACGAAGCGUGAGUGACGGUACCUGGAGAAGAAGCACCGGCCAACUACGUGCCAGCAGCCGCGGUAAUACGUAGGGUGCGAGCGUUGUCCGGAAUUACUGGGCGUAAAGAGCUCGUAGGCGGUUUGUCGCGUCCUCUGUGAAAUUCUGCAACUCAAUUGCAGGCGUGCAGGCGAUACGGGCAGACUUGAGUACUACAGGGGAGACUGGAAUUCCUGGUGUAGCGGUGAAAUGCGCAGAUAUCAGGAGGAACACCGGUGGCGAAGGCGGGUCUCUGGGUAGUAACUGACGCUGAGGAGCGAAAGCGUGAGUAGCGAACAGGAUUAGAUACCCUGUAGUCCACGCCGUAACGGUGGGUACUAGGUGUGGCUUCCUUUUCACGGGAUCCGUGCCGUAGCUAACGCAUUAAGUACCCCGCCUGGAGAGUACGGCCGCAAGGCUAAACUCAAACGGAUUGACGGUGGCCCGCAUAGCGACGG